UCACCAUGAUUGCUCUGACAAAUUCCACCUCCUAAUACCCCCUUAGGACUAUGGUAUUGCUUUUAUGUACAGAUUUAUGAUUUAAUUUUUACCAUACAUUUGCAUGCAAUUUUUAACUUAUCUUGUAUCUAGCACUAAAUUGAAUACUAUACAAGGACUGAUUGACAGAAAAGAGAUAAAAGCAUGAUUUUCUCAAGGGUCUUGCAUGGUUGUACAGUCUCCUCUGUUAACUGGUUUCUGCAUGUGUAGUGUGGACAUAAUACAGCCAACACUUUAUCAACAGUCAUGUCCUGAAAGUAAGUGUUAACCUGGGACUGAAGAGGACAGACCACAUGUGGCCUCAUGAGAUGUGUGCUUGGGGUCACGUUUAGAUCCCAGAUCGACCACUUAUCAGAGAGCUCUGGCUCCCUUGGGAGAAUGGCUCCCACUGGCUACAUUACAGUAUGAACCAUUGUGUCUUUCCAGUUCAUAUAAACAGAAGCAUCCCCCUUAAAUGUGGUCUCUCAUCAGAAGCUGUGCAAAGCCAGUGACAUCGCCCUGGCAAGAAAACGUCUCACCUUUCUGUUUUCAUCAUUCAGUGUCAGAGAUAUGGCACCUUUGAAGCUGACCCAAAACAAAGCCAGAUAUUCAAUGGGAUACAGAACUUCUACUCAUUCACUGCUCCCUUCUUGAGUUUUGACAAAAGAAACAGAGAAUGAGGACAUGAGAGACAUAAAAGGAUGUCCCAUUAGGGGUCAGGAAUUGAUUUUUUGCUGUUGUUCCUGGAAAUCCACUAUGAAAUGUGAGAGUAACAAGUUUACCAACAACAUUUCAGACUGAGAUACUGCCCUCAGAACUAUACCAUUGAAGGCAGCAGUGGUAAAUUCAGCAUAUUAUUGCCUGAAGUCAUUAAAGCGGAGCAUA